GGAUCUGCAAGCACAAAGUGGUGUUGUUACCAAAGCUCGUCCAGUGUGCGAUGCAAAGGGAUCCUCAGGUGUCACCUCGGCUCUCUGGCUCAUAAGGAUGGCUAAAACCGGUACUAAGACCUCCCAGUCCGGAAGGGGCCGUCUGUGAUCACUGAGCAAGAGAAAGAGUUCAGAGCUGGCCUGGGAGAAGCAGGGAAGACUAAGAUUCCCGCCCUGAGGCCCAUUGCCUGGUCUACAAGUGUCCCUGCGAUGCACUCAUGCUGAGAGCUAAGCAAAGUGCAACAGAUGCGCCCCUGUCCAUAGGACGAUGUUCACCGUGAUGUCACAGCAGUGGCUGGGUUGUGGGCCAGGGCGUGGCAGUUUGUGCACAGAACAGCAGAGCCCUUCCCACCUGGAAAUCCUGUGGCUUGUUGGACAGCAUCCUUCGGCUGCUCUUCCCUUUGGUGAUCCUCCGAGCCAGCUGAGCUUCUGACACUGUCCCAGAUGGCCCCUUGGGCCCAGGGCCUCUGACUAUGCCAUCUACCCUGUCUUCAUCUCCUUGAUCUUCUUCCUCUUCUUCUGAAAUACAGAAGGGGAACCAGUUAGUGAUGGUCCUUAGCCUGCAACUGUCUAUCCAGCACCCUGGUCUCCUGGACUUGCCCUGUUCCCAAGGUAACAGGGUAUCAUUGUAUAUUCCUGGCUACCCUGGAAUGCACUAAUGGAUGAAGCUGAAACUCUCAGAAAUCAUCCUAUCUCAACCUCCCAACUGCCGGGACCUUUGAAUUCUGAUUCUAUGUCAGACAAUAUAUACUUAUAGAGAGGGACUGGAAUCAGAAGAUAUUCAGCAAUCAAUGUGGUGAUAACGACAAUGAUAUUACCAUCGCAACACAGAAGGUAAUACACACCUUUGUCUGGUAUGUUAGACACCCAACUUAAAGGCUAGAUAUCCAAAGCUAAAUGUCAACACCCAUGUGGAUAUCAUUGAGCUAUAACCAUAUGCUUUCCAUAUGGAAUUCUGUCAAAUAAAACCAAAUCUCAAAUUUGCCAGUUCUGUGAUUGGAAAUUGAGGAUGAGGCCCAUAUCAUUGACAAGGGGAUGCAUUUAUCACGAAACCAAACUUCCAGUAUUUUCCUUCACUAUCUUGUUCUGUCUUUCCACAGAAGAGCACUCACCCCAGU